rnacentral:piRNA from 1 species
UCCAGUCAAGAGUGUUCAUUUAUUCGAUUU